CCUUAACCUGCUAAAUAGUCCCGCCGGCUUUGGCUGGCGGCUGACUUCUUAGAGGGACUAUCAGCGUUUAGCUGAUGGAAGUUUGAGGCAAUAACAGGUCUGUGAUGCCCUUAGAUGUUCUGGGCCGCACGCGCGCUACACUGACAGAGCCAGCGAGUAUUUUCACCUUAGCCGGAAGGCUCGGGUAAUCUUGUGAAACUCUGUCGUGAUGGGGAUAGAACAUUGCAAUUAUUGUUCUUCAACGAGGAAUACCUAGUAAGCGUGAUUCAUCAGAUCGCGUUGAUUACGUCCCUGCCCUUUGUACACACCGCCCGUCGCUACUACCGAUUGAAUGGCUUAGUGAGGCCUCCGGAUUGGCUAUGGGAAUCCCUCGCGGGAAUCCCACUGCCGAGAAGUUGUACGAACUUGGUCAUUUAGAGGAAGUAAAAGUCG
rnacentral:rRNA from 1 species